CAGCCGCCACGGUAAUACGUAGGUGGCAAGCGUUGUCCGGAAUUAUUGGGCGUAAAGGGCUCGCAGGCGGUUUCUUAAGUCUGAUGUGAAAGCCCUCGGCUCAACCGGGGAGGGUCAUUGGAAACUGGGAAACUUGAGUGCAGAAGAGGAGAGUGGAAUUCCACGUGUAGCGGUGAAAUGCGUAGAGAUGUGGAGGAACACCAGUGGCGAAGGCGACUCUCUGGUCUGUAACUGACGCUGAGGAGCGAAAGCGUGGGGAGCGAACAGGAUUAGAUACCCCGGUAGUCCCUGUCUCUUAUAA
rnacentral:rRNA from 1 species